rnacentral:rRNA from 1 species
GAUGAGCCCGCGUUGGAUUAGCUAGUUGGUGGGGUACAGGCCUACCAAGGCGACGAUCCAUAGCUGGUCUGAGAGGAUGAUCAGCCACAUUGGGACUGAGACACGGCCCAAACUCCUACGGGAGGCAGCAGUGGGGAAUAUUGGACAAUGGGCGCAAGCCUGAUCCAGCCAUGCCGCGUGAGUGAUGAAGGUCUUAGGAUUGUAAAGCUCUUUCACCGGGGACGAUAAUGACGGUACCCGGAGAAGAAGCCCCGGCUAACUUCGUGCCAGCAGCCGCGGUAAUACGAAGGGGGCUAGCGUUGUUCGGAAUUACUGGGCGUAAAGCGCGCGUAGGCGGAUAUUUAAGUCAGGGGUGAAAUCCCGGGGCUCAACCCCGGAACUGCCUUUGAUACUGGGUAUCUUGAGUGUGGUAGAGGUGAGUGGAAUUGCGAGUGUAGAGGUGAAAUUCGUAGAUAUUCGCAGGAACACCAGUGGCGAAGGCGGCUCACUGGACCACAACUGACGCUGAGGUGCGAAAGCGU